rnacentral:rRNA from 1 species
AGUGAACGCUGGCGGUAGGCCUAACACAUGCAAGUCGAACGGCAGCACAGUAAGAGCUUGCUCUUACGGGUGGCGAGUGGCGGACGGGUGAGGAAUACAUCGGAAUCUACUUUUUCGUGGGGGAUAACGUAGGGAAACUUACGCUAAUACCGCAUACGACCUACGGGUGAAAGCAGGGGAUCUUCGGACCUUGCGCGAUUGAAUGAGCCGAUGUCGGAUUAGCUAGUUGGCGGGGUAAAGGCCCACCAAGGCGACGAUCCGUAGCUGGGCUGAGAGGAUGAUCAGCCACACUGGAACUGAGACACGGUCCAGACUCCUACGGGAGGCAGCAGUGGGGAAUAUUGGACAAUGGGCGCAAGCCUGAGCCAGCCAUACCGCGUGGGUGAAGAAGGCCUUCGGGUUGUAAAGCCCUUUUGUUGGGAAAGAAAAGCAGCAGGUUAAUACCCCGCUGUUCUGACGGUACCAAAAGAAUAAGCACCGGCUAACUUCGU